GAGUUUGGGGACUGAAAGACUCGUGGGAAGAUUUUAGUGCUAACUGCUCAGUGGCAGGACCAGGCAUCUAGGGACCUGGGCCCUUUCCCUCGCUUAGCUCGCUGCCUUGCUGUGUGACUGCAAACUAGUUACUGAGCCUCUCUGAGCUUUAGCCUUCUCAUCUGCCAGGAAGUUAAACUGUGCCCUCUUACCUCACAUGGCUGAGGAAAGGAAGAUGCUGGGUUAAAAAAAAUUCUAGAGCAGCAUUUACAAACACUUGCUGUAGUGUGUGCAUGUGUGUAUGUGUGCGCGUGUGCGCGUACGUGUGCCUGUGCUCUAGGCCAGAGCAGCAGGGAUGAGGGUGCUCCAUCCGUUCCAAUGCGGGCUGUCUGGGGUGGCUUCCAGUUGGAGCUGCUUUUCAAGCUGUGCUCUGCAUAACAGCGAAUGGACAGAAGCAGGAGAAUGGGGAAUGGCUUGAGAUCAUUUCACAAAGACGGUGAGGGGCGGACGUUGGAAGAUGCCUGGUGAAGAAGUCUUACCCUUGCUGUAGGCGCUAGGCAGCCAUUGGAUGUUUUCGAGGAGCAAGAGUUGGUGUUCUUAGAGAAGCAGGGAGGGUGAUCCUGAGCUUGCCUCUCAGUGAAGGUAGCUGGGAGCUGAGGGUAUGGGAAGGGAGUCCACUGAGGAAGAUGAAGAUGUAGGAGAGAGUAGGGAGCUGUCCUCUGCUGGCCAGCAGAGGGCAGGAGUGGGAAAGGGGUUGGCACCUUCUAAGAAAGGACUUUCUCAAAGGGACUGCCCAUGCAGAGGUCAUUUGCUCAGGGUUAUAAAGCAAUCCUGUUUCAGGGUAACAACCUAAUAAUGGGGAAGUCACCAGCCCUUCCAGUUUCGGAUCUUCUAAUCAAGGUGAAACCAGAAACUGCCAGAGUGACUCGAAUGGAGGUCUAGGAUGGCAGUGAGAUGUCUCAGCAAUUAAAAGUGCUCGCUCUCUUGUCAGAUGACCUGAGUUUGAUGCCCAAGCCCUGCAAAGUAGGAGUGGACUUUCUCCGGUGGAUUGGCCCCUGACCUUUUCCACUUGUGCUGUGGAACUCAUAUACACAUACCUACAGUUACUCGAUUUCCCAGGCUGCCUGGAGCUCUCAGCCAUUCUCCUGUGUCAGCCUCUUGAGUCCUGGGAUUACAGACACGAGCCAUUGUCCGCCACCAUUUACUCUUUACUCCAUACUGUCGGGUUUCUCAGACCCUCACCGGGGCAUCUCUUACUGUCCUCCAGGCUGGGACUGUGUGAGGUAGUGCUCAGCAAGGUAUUAAUUAGCCUUUUGUCUCAUCAUUUUCCUCUGCUCAUAGAGCUAACCUCCUAUCAGGCAGGGCUAUAUGAGAAGCAGAAAGUCUGUAUAUUGCCUGGUGUUCUGAUGAUCAUAUCUGUAUCCUCUGGAAAGAAGUCUCUCCACCCCACUUCCUCUUUUUUUGUGUUUAAGACCAGGGCUCACUAUGUAACCUUGGUUAUCCUAGAACACACUAUGUAGACCACAGUGGCCGUGAACGCAGAGAUCCACCUGCCCCUGCCACCUGAGUGCUGGGAUUAAACGCGUGCACCACCAUGCUCCGCUUAGAGGAAACUUUCUCAAUAAAGAAUUGUUUGUGCGA
rnacentral:sRNA from 1 species